AGUGAACGCUGGCGGUAGGCCUAACACAUGCAAGUCGAACGGCAGCACAGUAAGAGCUUGCUCUUACGGGUGGCGAGUGGCGGACGGGUGAGGAAUACAUCGGAAUCUACUUUUUCGUGGGGGAUAACGUAGGGAAACUUACGCUAAUACCGCAUACGACCUACGGGUGAAAGCAGGGGAUCUUCGGACCUUGCGCGAUUGAAUGAGCCGAUGUCGGAUUAGCUAGUUGGCGGGGUAAAGGCCCACCAAGGCGACGAUCCGUAGCUGGUCUGAGAGGAUGAUCGGCCACACUGGAACGGAGACACGGUCCAGACUCCUACGGGAGGCAGCAGUGGGGAAUAUUAGACAAUGGGCGCAAGCCUUAUCCAGCCAUACCGCGUGGGUGAAGAAGGCCUUCGGUUUGGAAAGCCCUUUUGUUGGGAAAGAAAAGCAGCAGGUUAAUACCCCGCUGUUCUGACGGUAGCCAAAGAAUAAGCACCGGCUAACUUCGUG
rnacentral:rRNA from 1 species